UACGAAGGGGGCUAGCGUUGCUCGGAAUUACUGGGCGUAAAGGGCGCGUAGGCGGACAGUUUAGUCAGAGGUGAAAGCCCUUGGCUCAACCGAGGAAGUGCAUCCGAAACUGAAUAGCUGGAGUACGAAAGAGGGUCGCGGAAUUCCCGGUGUAGAGGUGAAAUUCGUAGAUAUCGGGAGGAACACCGGUGGCGAAGGCGGCGACCUGGGUCGAUACUGACGCUGAGGUGCGAAAGCGUGGGGAGCAAACAGG
rnacentral:rRNA from 1 species